rnacentral:rRNA from 1 species
GAUGAACGCUGGCGGCGUGCCUAAUACAUGCAAGUCGAGCGAACGGACGAGAAGCUUGCUCCUCUGACGUUAGCGGCGGACGGGUGAGUAACACGUGGAUAACCUACCUAUAAGACUGGGAUAACUUCGGGAAACCGGAGCUAAUACCGGAUGAUAUUUUGAACCGCAUGGUUCAAAAGUGAAAGACGGUCUUGCUGUCACUUAUAGAUGGAUCCGCGCUGCAUUAGCUAGUUGGUAAGGUAACGGCUUACCAAGGCAACGAUGCAUAGCCGACCUGAGAGGGUGAUCGGCCACACUGGAACUGAGACACGGUCCAGACUCCUACGGGAGGCAGCAGUAGGGAAUCUUCCGCAAUGGGCGAAAGCCUGACGGAGCAACGCCGCGUGAGUGAUGAAGGUCUUCGGAUCGUAAAACUCUGCUAUUAGGGAAGAACAAAUGUGUAAGUAACUAUGCACAUCUUGACGGUACCUAAUCAGAAAGCCACGGCUAACUACGUG